rfam:Odoribacter sp. CAG:788 genomic scaffold, scf119
ACAGUCAGAAAGGGGUGCCUGAAUAGUACGGGCUGAGAUUAUACCCAUUGAACCUGAUCCGGGUAAUGCCGGCGAAGGGAGUUAUGUAACAGAUGUGC